rnacentral:lncRNA from 1 species
AGGAAGAUGAACUGCAGGGAUUCAGCCAGUGACAAGGUAAUGAAUGAGAGUGAUUUUGGAGGCACGGAAAGCUGCUCCAGUUCCAGAGGGAAAUUUUGCCCCAAAGGGUCGGUGAAUCACGGGAUGUCAGGCUGCAGAAGGGGAGAUGCACACUGUGCAGCAGACAAGACACACAAGCCAUGCAGGAUUGUCCCCACAUGCCACGUGUCGACUGCUCUGCUCUCCACAGGACACACUGGAAGAUCUGUGAGCAGCAGGGGCUGCACUCAGCACUUGAAAAAUCUCUGCAUUUUAUGGGAACUCAUUUACCAAUCCAGCUACACAUUCAGUGGGUGUUCUGAGCCAUAAACUGCCAUCCAUAAGCUGAAUUUCUGGCUAUAUUGAAUUCCCAGAAAGCUGCACAGCAAUCAGAGCUCACAGAGGAAUCUGUGCAAUUGUUUUAUACCAGCAUUUCUUUCACUGAUGUGUUGUUCUUUGCUUUUCACAGAACCAUUUCUUGCUUAAAAUUGGAUAGCAGGACUUAUUCUUCUCAACAGUUAUAUAUAAACAUAUUUUCACAUGCCUAUACAUAUGUAUAGGAAUAUAUUUUCUACUUUCUUUUAUUCUUAACAGAGAAAUUAAAUUUUAAAAAGGCCACAGACAUUUUAUAAAACCUUGGAUUCAAAUCUGGAAAAAAUGGCAGUUUUUUAGUUAUAUUCAUGUGAAUAAUGAGAAUGAGAAAGAGAAAAUAUUUUUCCACAUCUGUACCUAUAGGACUACAAAUGAUGCAGUACAGCUCUGGCAGCCUGCAGAGUUCAUUCCUACAGGACAGCAAGCUGUUCUCAGGCUGGUCAGUAUUGAUGUGCAGUAUUUGGAGCAAUGGGAUAUCCUCUAAAAUCGCUGCUUGCUGCUGCAGACCAGAACUCUUCUCCUAACUUUGCCAGACAGCUGUUACCAUCAGCAGAGGUUUCAUCUGCAAAGGUUCCUGUGGACACAAGGACUCACAGGCUGUGGCUCCACAUCACAAGGCCAUCAGCUGCUCCUGGAUCCACACAAAAUUCCUCAGCAUCUACAACACCCCCUAAGGGAGAGAGCUGCUCCAUGGCUGAGCUGGGAUGGCAGACUUGGCUUUUGUACUUUUCAUAUAUUUGUAAUCCUGCAAUUCUUUAGUGUAUAACUCUAAACUCCAUGUAGAGUGUGAGCUGCUGCUUUCCCAUUUUGGUCAGACACCACAAUUCCUCUCUAGUUCUGGGGAUCAAGGACACCUCACUGUCUCAGGCCUGAGAAACGUAAACAAAACUGAGUUGGAGGGAAGCAAAUUUGGGGUCAAUGACUUCAUUACCUAAAGCUGUAAUUGGAAGAUUAACCCCCAAUGUGCAAAUGGACCAAAUUUAUAAAAGUAUGAAGACCUGUGACUCAUCAUCCAUUUUGGGUGUAGCCCCUGGGGGGGGUUUUGUCAACCCUAAAUGUACCUGAAGGCCUUUCAAUAAAUAUAACUGCUUUUUUUACGUAAUUUUGUCUGGUCUCUGUUUUUAGGUAGCCCCAAAAGGCAUCACUUGCACUGGGCAUGAUGGUGGGGGUUGUUUUGGGGCAGGAGAGACACUGCAGGGCCUUCUCCUGGCAGAGUGUGGGGCAGUGGCCAAGGAAUGUUUGCUGAAAGCCAAGGCAGUUUAUGCUCCAGAGCAAACAGGGCUCAGGAACAAUAUCCUAUCCCCCUCCUCUUCCUAAGAAAAAUCCCUAUUUCCCAGACUUUCAGCAUUCUCCCUGAGAGCAGGUGGUGGUGUUCCCUGCUGGAGACAGGAAUCUGCUUUGUGGGUUGUGAUUGCACCCGAUGCAGCCGUGCCUGCCCAGUCCCAGCACAUGGAACCAACCUGCCUGUGCAAGAGCUGCUCCUGCUGCUGUCACUGCACAUUUUGGGUGGCAAUGUCUGGGUUUUGACUUCUUGCACCAGCCACUUGAAUGGCCAAUCCUGACAUUUCACACUUCCACUGGACAAAACUUCAAGCCUUUUGCAGAAGCCGAAUUUUCAAAGAGGCCGAAUCCCCUGCCAUGACGAAACCAACAGAACUUCUAUAUUCACUUCAGUUUGUGUCUCUUUAUUUGAAAUUGCAUCUACACCCUAGAGUGGCUGAAACUCUGGAUGUACAAAUCAAUUGAAACUGAGUCACUGGGCUUGAUAAAAGCAAACAGACGUCAUUGUAAUGGGAGUGAAGCCCUGCUUCAAGCCUCAACCACCCUGCUGAGUUGUAAGAUUAAUUAGAGGAAUGUAUGAAACUGAAAUGAAUAAAGCAACCAUUAAACAUGUGGCUAAUAUUUAAAGAAACUUGGCCAAAAAAUUAAAAACUAGCUAGUGGACUAAUGUUUACAUUGUAAAAUGUAAAUUUACAGUGUUAACUUACUCCAGAAUGGACAAACAAAUAUUUUAAGCAAGCAAAAAAAUUGCACAUACUUUCAGCAAACAUUGACAUCUUCUUACAUUGGGGAAAUUCUUGUCAUGCUUAACCCAAGUGUGACACAAUGCCUUGUAAUAAUUAUCCAUUACUGAAGCUUAUCUGGGCUUGCUGAUAACCUGGUGUUCCUUUAGCACAUACAGCAGUGCACAUUUCACCCCAUUUAUCUUGGGCACCACUGUAUUUAAUCCCUAGGAGGCCCAAGUGUAUCAACCAAGAAACACUUGGGUGCUUCAAAUUACUCACUUGGGGCAACAGUCAGGCUUUGUAGAGCUGAAAAAUUUAUCAAGUCAGAUGGCUAAAGCAGGGAAGGGUGAAUAUUUACUAAAUAUUCAUCUCAGGAGCUGAGGGUUUGGUUGCCCUCUUCCAGUCUCACCAAUGGGAAAGUCACUGUAAGUAGCUUCCCACAGAUACUCCAAAAAUUACCCAGAAAAGAAGUCAGGGUUUCUUUUAAAUCAGUAAAUCUAUGAUGUCUCAUAGGCAGAUGUCUCCAGUACUGCUGGGAAAUGGAUCCUAUGCUGAGAAUGGGAGUGAGGAAGGGUAGAUGGUGACAGAGAGAACAAAGCCUCUUAUCCAUGGAAUCAUAACACAAUAGAGAAAGUAGAGUUAUUGAUGGCACAGGCUUGAUUAAGUUCAUAAAAAUUUCACCUGUUUCUGCCUUUUUUCUUUUUUUUUUUUUGGUGGGGGGAUUGGUUGGUUUGGGGUUUUUUGGGGUUUUUUUGGGGUUUUUUUUGUUCAGAGAGCAUCUAAGCAGGUUACAUCAGUGGACCUGUCUUUCAUACUGAGAUGGAAAAGGGAUAACACUUCCCACUCACCACAAUUCUUUUUAUUGGGAAUAGCAGUCAGAAAGUACUAUUUAUCCUCUGAACAAAAAAAAAAAAAAAAAAAAACAAAACAAAACAAAACAAAACAAAAAAAACCACACAAAAAAACAACAAAAAAAACAAACCAAAACAAAACCCUGUUAUAAAAUCUUAGCAGCAGAACCUGAAGGUCUUUAUUUCCUUGAGCCCUGAUCUGUAGUCCAAAAAUUUAAGAAUAUUGUUGGACAAGUCAAACAACAUGUGCAUGGGGAACAAUGAGGUGAUAGGGAAGAGAGCAGUGAAGACAAACAGCCAUGUUAUAUAUCCUCCUCUCUCUUUCAACAGAGACACAUUUUCCAGCCACAGGAUGCAAUUUUCAUGCUGUCUCUAGACAUAAGGAUAACUGCUCUUCAGGAGCUACUUUGUGUGUUAAACAAAUAUGACAUUUACAGAUUGUUUUCUCUCAGUACUUAUUUGCUAUGUCCUGAGCUAAUGACCUUAAAAAUUGCUCUCUCUGAUGGUGUUAGUGUGAGACGAUUUCCAAAAAGCAUGAAAUUGCAAUAAACUGUCAAGUUUGCACAGGUGCACUGGAGAUUAAGAGAUCAGCCACAGAGCCAUUAAGAUCUAUGGCAAAAUGCCCAGUGGGACCAAGAUCAAACCUUUGGAGUGUUUUUAAAAAUGUCAUCAUUAGGAGAGAGAUGCCUUCCCAGGAGCUCCACAUAAUGCUGGAUUUUAACCAUACCCUUCUGCAGUGUUCCUCUGAGAUGGCAGAAAUUUCCAAUUCCACUCUAAAUAGAUGAAGCAAAUAUUAAUUCUGCUGGAGCAAGGAUCAGUGGCACAUCCUCACUGAGAUACACAACAGAAGCCUUCAAAUCCUUCCUCACCUGCAGGGAGAGGCACCUUAGAGGUGUAAGAAGCCCAUUUGCACUCAUUGCACAGGGACAUAUUUUUAUCUACUAUGAAAAACUCUAAGGAGACAGGUUUUGGGGAAAAAAUUGCCCAUCAAAAGGUGGAUUUCUCACCAAUAAUUGUUUUCUCUGCAGACAUACAAAUUUCAUUCUUACCCCACUCCCUUUCCACCUAGAAGGACUCUGGCUCAGGGAAAUUUCACUAGCUGGUGUGGUCAAGGGCCACAGUAAUGCCCUGAGCUGCUGCUCUGCACAGAGAUGUGGAAAGAAAUCAGUUUUCAAAACCUCCCACUGCUUUCCCUGAGAUUUUCCUGGAAAGACAGGCAAGUUUCCUUUUAACUGCCUGGGAGUGAACUCCAGAGCAUCCCAGCCACAAGAGCCAAGAAAUACACUCCAGGGUGCACAGGCAAAUGCAGAAGCCUUGGUACAGCAGGAACACUGGCACAGAUUUGCUUUGCAGCGCUCACACACAGGGUUGGCUCUGCCUAAGUGAUAGGUGAGGAGGAGCAGGGUGUUUGUAAUGGCUUGGGAAUGCCUUUCAGUGCUUCUCAUCUGGAAAAUGACAUCAUCAGUGCUGAGGUUACAUUUUGCUUCAGUUCUUUGUUGGCAAAGUCCCACUUCUGUCCUUUUGAGCUGUUGGCUUUGCUCUGUAUCAUAAGUCUUACACUGCAAAUGAGAAAAAAGAGUAAAGCCUAAUCCAAUCUUUUCCCCCCAAACAUUCCACAUUGGUUUUCUCAAGAGAAAACCUGGGUUGUUCACAGAAACCCACACCCUGUGUCAUGCUGUUGAGCACAUACUUUCAGUUAGCUCUUCAAAUAUUUUUGUAAGAUAGAGAAGUCGGGCAGGAGGCGAGAAAUGACCAGACCUGAGGACACAGAUGCUCAGCAAGCUGAGUCACCCCAAACCCAGCCAGCUGCCUGCACACAGCUCCCCUGCUGCUCAGCUGCAGGUUAGUUCUGGCUUUGGGCAGAAACUCUAUUAAAUAGGACAUAAUAGGUGCUACUUCUGCAGCAUUUCGUGGCUGAUAUUGUCCUGGCCCCCUGUGGCACAGGCUCUGAAGCCCUGCA